ACGAAAGUCUGAUGGAGCAAUACCAUGUGAACGAUGAAGGUCUUCUGAUUGUAAAGUUCUUUUAUUUAGGAAAAAAAGCUUGAUAGGAAAUGAUUAAGCCUUGAUUGUACUAAAUGAAUAAGUGACAGCUAACUAUGUGCCAGCAGCUGCGGUAAAACAUAGGUCACGAGCAUUAUCCGGAUUUAUUGGGCGU
rnacentral:rRNA from 1 species